UAUGGGUCAACCUCGAAGCUAAGAACUUUAGCCUCUCGUAUAUGCUGGAAUUUAGCUUUCAUCGCUUGAUCAGUGGUCUUUUGGAUGAUUUGUUCAGCAUCGGGGCAAGUUAGUGCCAAGUCAAGAGCUUCUUAGCACGCCUUGGGUAAACCAUACAAAUCGUUGGUAGAAUAUUUCUUGUGAAACUCUUUCAUGUAUUCUAAAGAUUCGCCGAGGAAUGGGGGGUGCAGAUUCUGCCGAACUUUGAUUAACAGCUCUUUCAAAGGUAACAGAGAUAAUUGGCUUUCGGCCUCUUUCUUAUAUUGCUCG
rnacentral:lncRNA from 1 species